rnacentral:rRNA from 1 species
GUCAGGAUGAACGCUAGCGGCAGGCCUAAUACAUGCAAGUCGGACGGGAGUCCCCCUCGGGGGGACGAGAGUGGCGGACGGGUGCGCAACGCGUAUGCAACCCACCCGACCCGGGGCAUAGCCGGUGGAAACGCCGGGUAAUGCGCCAUGAGCCGCGCAGGGGGCAUCCCCCGCGUGGCAAAGCGAGAGCGGGACGGACGGGCAUGCGUCCCAUUAGCUUGUGGCGGGUGAAGGCCCACCAAGGCGACGAUGGGUAGGGGAUCUGAGAGGACGGUCCCCCCACACUGGUACUGAGACACGGACCAGACUCCUGCGGGAGGCAGCAGUAAGGGAUAUUGGUCAAUGGGCGGAAGCCUGAACCAGCCAUGCCGCGUGAGGGAAUGAGGCCCUACGGGUCGUGAACCUCUUUUGUCCAGGGACAAGGACAUCCACGCGAUGGGUGUUUGAGGGUACUGGAAGAAUAAGCGUCGGCUAACUCCGUGCCAGCAGCGGC